rnacentral:sRNA from 1 species
UCUCCUUCUCCCACCCCACUGUGAGGGAGCAGGAGCUCCCGGUGAUAAGCUGUGCAGUUCUGUCUGUCUGCUACUGCGCCCCUCCCACAGUUCAGUCCAGGCUGCAACCUCCGCCCUCCUUCCCCAGUUCAGCCCCAGCUGUAGCCAUCCCUUCAAUUCAGCCCAUGAUGCAACCGCUCCGCUCCCCUUCCCUCCCUCUCCCCAGUGCAGGGUUAGGAGACAUUCAGCUGGCAGGACAGUGAGCCCAGAGACUUAGAAGAUCCCAGAACCUUAAAACCUGCCAGUAGGCCCUCCAACUCCUAAAUACCAGAAUCAGGUGUCAAUCCCUUGGGAGUGUCUCCAACCCAUCCCCUUCCUCAAAAGUUACCCCAAAAACCUUCUGUCCUAGUUCCAGGCCCUAGUAGCCUGCUGGAGGGAGAAGUAAGUCACUAAACUGGAAACUGAGUCCUCCUGACACUGGUUCCCAAUACACAGUGGACAGAGCUCCAGGAUUGGAUAUAUCUAAUCCUUCCCUGAGUGCACCCAGAGGUCACAGCCGCCCUAUUCCAGUCACUGGGAUAUUAGUGAACCGUGAAAAGGGAAUGAAGGGGCCUUGUUGUUGAAUGACAGCAACCAAUACAAAUGCCCCACCUGUGUGUGAUAGGCUCAGGAGAAAGUCACGAGGCAGAAAAACCCACAGACAAGGAGGUCAGGGAUGGGAGGGAUGAUCUUGUGGGGUCAACAACAUUCUGGAAAUGCACAAGGUAAGGCUGCCUGGGGGCCAUGUUAACUAUCAGUUUCUUUAGCUCCCUGCAACAGAAAACACCUCCCCUGGCUCCUGCUCGAAUGUGGGUGACUCAGCCUGGACCUGCCUGUCAAAUGUUGGGGUCAUUGCGUUGGAAAUGACAAUGGCAUUAUAAACAGGUGCCCUGCCUUCCUGUACCCCAAGGAGAGCAAAUUAAAGCCACCAGGAGGUGCCAUGUUCUCAGCGCUUAUCGUCCAGGCAAGGAAGCUUGUGCAGAUAAACUUGCACUGCAGAAUGGUGAUGGUGACCCCAGGCACGGGGUGCUGAUGGUGACCUGCCACGUAGUGCCUGUAAAGCCAUCAACAGGGAUCAGCCACCAAUCUGCAAGCACAGCCCCUGCGCAGCAGCUACCUGUGAAUCUCCGCUUCACCAGGGACAUGCGGUAGCCGCCACCCAG